rnacentral:rRNA from 1 species
AGUGAACGCUGGCGGUAGGCCUAACACAUGCAAGUCGAACGGCAGCACAGGAGAGCUUGCUCUCUGGGUGGCGAGUGGCGGACGGGUGAGGAAUACAUCGGAAUCUACUCUGUCGUGGGGGAUAACGUAGGGAAACUUACGCUAAUACCGCAUACGACCUACGGGUGAAAGCAGGGGAUCUUCUGACCUUGCGCGAUUGAAUGAGCCGAUGUCGGAUUAGCUAGUUGGCGGGGUAAAGGCCCAACAAGGCGACGAUCCGUAGCUGGUCUGAGAGGAUGAUCAGCUACACUGGAACUGAGACACGGUCCAGACUCCUACGGGAGGCAGCAGUGGGGAAUAUUGGACAAUGGGCGCAAGCCUGAUCCAGCCAUACCGCGUGGGUGAAGAAGGCCUUCGGGUUGUAAAGCCCUUUUGUUGGGAAAGAAAUCCAGCUGGCUAAUACCCGGUUGGGAUGACGGUACCCAAAGAAUAAGCACCGGCUAACUUCGUGCCAGCCGCCGCAGUAA